GAUGAAGAACGCAGCGAAAUGCGAUAAAUAAUGUGAAUUGCAGAAUUCAGUGAAUCAUCGAGUCUUUGAACGCACAUUGCGCCCCCUGGUAUUCCGGGGGGCAUGCCUGUCCGAGCGUCAUUGCUGCCCUCAAGCACGGCUUGUGUGUUGGGCCCCCGUCCCCCCCUCCCGGGGGACGGGCCCGAAAGGCAGCGGCGGCACCGCGUCCGGUCCUCGAGCGUAUGGGGCUUUGUCACCCGCUCUGUAGGCCCGGCCAGCGCCUGCCGACCACCAUCAAUCUUUUUUCAGGUUGACCUCGGAUCAGGUAGGGAUACCCGCUGAACUUAAGCAUAUCAAUAAGCGGAGGA
rnacentral:misc_RNA from 1 species